GACGAACGCUGGCGGCGUGCUUAACACAUGCAAGUCGAACGGAAAGGCCCUGCUUUUGUGGGGUGCUCGAGUGGCGAACGGGUGAGUAACACGUGAGUAACCUGCCCUUGACUUUGGGAUAACUUCAGGAAACUGGGGCUAAUACCGGCUAGGAGCUCCUGCUGCAUGGUGGGGGUUGGAAAGUUUCGGCGGUUGGGGAUGGACUCGCGGCUUAUCAGCUUUUUGGUGGGGUAGUGGCUUACCAAGGCUUUGACGGGUAGCCGGCCUGAGAGGGUGACCGGCCACAUUGGGACUGAGAUACGGCCCAGACUCCUACGGGAGGCAGCAGUGGGGAAUAUUGCACAAUGGGCGGAAGCCUGAUGCAGCAACGCCGCGUGCGGGAUGACGGCCUUCGGGUUGUAAACCGCUUUCGCCUGUGACGAAGCGUGAGUGACGGUAAUGGGUAAAGAAGCACCGGCUAACUACGUG
rnacentral:rRNA from 1 species